CGGCGUGCUUAACACAUGCAAGUCGAACGAAGUCACUUUUGAUUGAUUUCCUCGGAAUGAUUUCACUUGUGACUGAGUGGCGGACGGUGAGUAACGCGUGGGUAACCUGCCAUAAGUGAGGGAUAGCCCAUGGAAACGUGGAGUAAUACCUCAUAUUGUAUAUUAACUGCAUGGUUGAUAUAUGAAAGAUUUAUCGCUUAUGGAUGGACUCGCGUCUGAUUAGAUAGUUGGUGAGGUAACGGCUCACCAAGUCGACGAUCAGUAGCCGAACUGAGAGGUUGAUCGGCCACAUUGGGACUGAGACACGGCCCAAACUCCUACGGGAGACAGCAGUUAGGAAUAUUCGUCAAUGGGGGAAACCCUGAACGAGCAAUGCCGCGUGAGUGAUGACGGUCCUUUGGAUUGUAAAACUCUGUUGUUAGGGAAGAACGACCUAUGUAGGAAAUGACAUAGGAGUGACGGUACCUUUCAAGAAAGCUCCGGCUAACUACGUG
rnacentral:rRNA from 1 species